rnacentral:lncRNA from 1 species
UGCCAAAUUUUUAAAAUUUGAGUUUUCUCUCUAGUUUAGCCAUAACUGUUAUAAUUUAAAGCUUGCUCUAAACCUAAACUUCUGGGAAGAAAACUUGAUCUGAAAGUCUAAGUUGUUAACGGAUAUGAUAUGGGAAGGUUGAGCUGCUAUUUAUCUGUUCCUAGAGAUGCUAGAAUUCUGGAGAAUUUUAUCUUUGAAAAUCUUUAAAAUAUUGCAUGAUGAGUUCUUGUAUGAUGAGAGUUUAAAUUCCUACCACAGCCAUAUAUACAUGCUUGCUAGACUUUGAGCCACAUAUUUACUUUUUACUACUUAUGAGCGUUGAGUGUGGUCAAGCUGUGUAGACCCUUAGGAGCUUGUCAUGUGGUUAAAUCAAGAUUCACUUGCACGUUCACUCACAUAUGCUGCUUCUACUCUGGAAGUACCAUCCACAUAUAUCCACCCAUUUCCAUCUCCAGAACCACCCAAAAACAUUCUACUCCUAAACCGGGAGAGAAUGGCCAAAAACAUUUCUGUUUUCCCUGUGAAAUAAAUGCUCAACUUAUCUUGGUUACUACCACUUGCUAUAUUAUUAUCUCAUGAGAUGAGUGCUCUCUAAAAAAAGAGAGAGAAAGAUAAUACAAGGAAAUAAAAAGGGGCAAGUGCGUGGUACCUCGAAAGAAAAGAAAAGAAAAGAAAAAGUAAGACGAGAGGUAAAAAUGGACAAGUGUCCGACAGUAGAAUUAGGGGUACAAGAUACCCACCUGAGAGAAAAGGAAAAGAAGAGCAUCUCAUUCUCCUCAUAAAGUUUCAAAAGAGCAAGAAAGGUAUGUAUCCCCUCAAAAGAGCAAAAGUAGAAUUAGAUUGUCACCAUUGUUAUCACCAUCAUCACUAUACACCAUUCAUUCGCCACACAUGCACAUCUUCAUUUGACUUAUUGAUUUGUUUCUUUGGAUCCAUGGUUUGACUAUACAAUAAAUGUCUUGUGAGUUUGUAUACUUUAUCUCCCACCUAUGAGCUCCAGAUAUCAAAAGCCUUAUUAGAGUAGGGUGAGAGAGAAGGCAAUGUCACUAUGCCUUAUACCACAAAUACCACAUACUUUUUGAGAGAAGGCAUAUACCAUCACUGCCUUGGUGAGGAUCUAGAAAUACCACAAAAGAGAGAUCUGAGAGAGUCAUACAAGGAAUCUCUAAGUUUUAUUUAAAAAUCUGCAAAAACUCCAGAGCUAUAGCUAAUCAAGAAUAAGAGACAUGGCACUUGACUAGACUGUUCUAUCUUUUAACUACUCAAGACAGAAGAGACGGUUACAAGUCCCAUGGUGAAAGGUAAAGUAAGUAAGUUUUAAGUCUUGACAGUUUACUCUAACUCAGAGAUGAGAUCUUAUUUAAAAGCAUGUGUACCGUCAACUUCUAAAGGCAUUACAACAACUUCUAAUCUAUCGCUGAGAGUAUCCUUGCUCAAGGACG